UACGGAGGGUGCGAGCGUUGUCCGGAAUUACUGGGCGUAAAGGGCGCGUAGGCGGGUGUUUAAGUCAGAGGUUAAAUCCCAGAGCUCAACUCUGGAACUGCCUUUGAUACUGGACACCUAGAGUACGGGAGAGGUGUGUGGAACUCCGAGUGUAGAGGUGAAAUUCGUAGAUAUUCGGAAGAACACCAGUGGCGAAGGCGACACACUGGCCCGUUACUGACGCUGAGGCGCGAAAGCGUGGGGAGCAAACAGGG
rnacentral:rRNA from 1 species